GUGGGGAAUAUUGCACAAUGGGCGAAAGCCUGAUGCAGCAACGCCGCGUGAAGGAAGAAGGCCUUCGGGUCGUAAACUUCUGUCCUUGGGGAAGAAGAACUGACGGUACCCAAGGAGGAAGCCCCGGCUAACUACGUGCCAGCAGCCGCGGUAAUACGUAGGGGGCAAGCGUUAUCCGGAAUUAUUGGGCGUAAAGAGUACGUAGGUGGCAACCUAAGCGCAGGGUUUAAGGCAAUGGCUUAACCAUUGUUCGCCCUGCGAACUGGGAUGCUUGAGUGCAGGAGAGGAAAGCGGAAUUCCUAGUGUAGCGGUGAAAUGCGUAGAUAUUAGGAGGAACACCAGUGGCGAAGGCGGCUUUCUGGACUGUAACUGACACUGAGGUACGAAAGCGUGGGGAGCAAACAGG
rnacentral:rRNA from 1 species